GACGAAGGAUGCAAGCGUUAUCCGGAUUCAUUGGGUUUAAAGGGAGCGUAGGUGGCCUUAUAAGUCAGUGGUGAAAUCUCUGGGCUUAACCCAGAAAUUGCCAUUGAUACUUGUAGGCUUGAGUAUAGUUCGUUGGCGGAAUAUGACAUGUAGUGGUGAAAUACAUAGAGUAUGCAUAGAACACCGAUUGCGAAGGACAG
rnacentral:rRNA from 1 species